CGGCGACCCCGCCGGAGGGACAUGACGCAGCGAUCUAGGGCUCGAGACAUAAAUCCGAACGGCGUAUCACGAAGCGGACAACAUGGCGAACCAGAGGGUGGGUGACUUACCAAGAAUUGCCCAACCAUACUCUUCGCCCACAGCGAAUUGCGGUCCCGGGGCGGUGCCAAAUCGAUGGUCAGCCAUUCCGUGGCCUCCGGUGGUCCUCCCCUGUACCAAAGCCAUGACCACCCAUGCCAUGGCGCGGUGAAGACCCCGACCGGUGCACGAUAGCUGGACGAUGAUGAGUGCACGGAUCGGCAACGACGGUGGUGGCUGAAGCUAUGGUGUCUGGCGAGAUAGCUCGAAUGAUGGGAAGUCCUGGGUUUUAUGAUGUGGGUGAAGUCCAGAUUUGUUCCGACCUCCUGAAUCACGCGUGCAGAGAUCACGACGGAGAUCACGGUGGAGAUCGCGGCAUUCGCCUGAGGUUGUUACAGAGUCCGCGCGGUGAAGAAGGUCCUGACGUGGGGGUCCCACCGGUCAUUGAUGCGGUGUCCGACUAGCGCCAGAGGCCCACGUGUAAGUGAC
rnacentral:lncRNA from 7 species